GCCUGCGUGGCUCAGUUGGUUAGAGCGUUGGUCUCAUAGAAACAAUUUGUAUGACUCGACAGUCCACUGUCGGGUAUCUCCAAUGCAAGAAUCCACAAAUCCAAAGGUCGGGAGUUCGAGUCUCCCCGCGGGCA